AGAUAGAGACAUUCUUUGCUGAGAGUCGCCACAGUUUCCUGCUUCAACAGUGCUUGGAUGGAAACUGGCGCUCAUCCCCCACCCUGGCCAGCCAUCCAUAGCCAGCCCUCUGUCACCUCCACACUGUGCCCUUGGACCGCCUCAAGUCCUCUGCCACUACUCCAGUGCCAUGUAGUCACUGCUGCUGCUGCCUCUCCUUAGCCACCACCAUGAUGACACUGUCCCCCUUGCAGGGGUGCCAGAACUACCACCAGGACUCAGAGGCUGCCAUCAACUGCCAGAUUAACCUGGAGCUCUACACCUCCUACAUCUACCUGUCCAUGUCUUACUACUUUGACUGCGAUGACGUGGCUUUGAAGAACUUUGCCAAAUACUUUCUUCACCAAUCUCAUGAGGAGCGUGAACAAGCUGAGAAACUGAUGAAGGUGCAGAACCACCGAGGUGGCCAAAUCUUCCUUCAGGAUAUCAAGAAACCAGAUCAUGAUGGAGUGUGCAUUACAUUUGGAAAAGAAUGUGAAUCAAUCACUACUGGAACUGCACAAACUGGCCACUGACAAAAAUGACCCCCAUUUAUGUGACUUCAUUGAGACACAUUACCUGAAUGAGCAGGUGAAAUCCAUCAAAGAAUUGGGUGACCACAUGACCAACCUGUGCAAGAUGGGAGCACCCUGAUCGGGCUUAGCAGGAUAUCUCUUUGGCAAGCACACCCUGGGAGACAGCGAUAAUGAAAGCUAAGCCUUAGGCUAAUUUCCCCAUAGCCCUGGGGUGACUUCUCUGGUCACCAAGGCAAUACAUGCAUG